rnacentral:lncRNA from 1 species
GGAGGGGACAGAAGUUUGGUUGUCGUACUGUCCUGUGUGCAGCUUGGCACGUCCAAACCGCAGAUGACUGAGACCACAGGGGUGGGUGGGGCUCUCGCAGAGAGAGGGAACUGUCACCCAGCGGAAUGAUACCCAUCUGAGGUGAUGCAGGCCAUCCUGUGCAGGAAGCAGCCGAGCUGUGUUCUAGUGCGGAGAGUGACGCCCACCUCACACACACCCAUCCCUUCCUUGGAGGUCAUGUGGUCACAGUUCAACUGUCUGCAGGCUCAUGAGGGCCAGGCCCUGUCUUUGCCUUCAAGGAGGUUGUGCCCGUAGUCAGCUAUGGGUAUGCUUGUGUGCUCAACAGAUACACUGGCUUAGGAAUAAAUUGGUGAACCUCACUGGUUUAGGAAUAAAUUGGUGAACCUCAUGGGGCCCCUGCUGCCUGCCUCAUCCUCCUGGGGCACGUGGCUGGUGAACCAGUACAAAGAUCACUAAAGGCACGAUGCAUCCAUUGCAACGAGGAGGGGGCCUUUGAUCUGUUCUUAGCUGCCAGGAGCUUUCCUGGAGAAGGUGGCCUAUUAAAAGUUAGAACCCAGAGGCUGAUGGAUCUGUUAGGAAUGUUUUUAGCUGCAAGGAAUAACUAGCAUAAACAAAUGGGGGCCUAUUUUCUCACAUAAGCAGUCUGGUGACAGGCAGUAUCAAGUGUUGUUCGUGGCGUCAACCAUACCACCCAGGAACCAGGCUCUUACUUUGCCUCCUCUCCAUUCUCCCAGGACUUGUCGUCUUAGAGUUGCACAGUCUCAGAGAAAGUUGUGGCAGCACCACACCUCGUGCCAAUUGCCAAACAGAAGCCUUCCAGGAGGAAAAAUUAACCCCCAAAGGUGCCAUUGGCCAGAAAAUGUGUGACAUGGCCAUUUUAGCUGUAACUUUAGGAAAACAGCAAAUGACAGUGGGCCCGGGAAAUAGACCAGGACUUAUCCCUUGGGCCUGAACACCUUCUGUUUCCAGUAAAGUCUUAUGGGUGAGGAAGGAGGAAGGGAAGACUUACUGGCAUAGGUCGGGUAGGACUUCAGGGGAGAUAUUUCCAUCAGAGGGGACGGUGUGCAAAGACCCAGAAAUAAGAGCAUAGGUUGUUUGUAGAGCUGAAUGCCCUGUCUUGUUGGAGCUGAGAAGUGGGGUGAGGUGAGACCAGGCAGAUGAGAAACUCGUAUUAAGCAAUUUGACUUUCAGCCAUGACAUCAUUGCCCCACCGAACUAAGGCUUCCCAUUUCCUUUCUGGCACACAUUUGCCACAGACUCACCUGGAAGGUCAGCAGAGGUACCAGCCCAUUCCCAUAACCCUGCUCAGAGCAAUGUUUUCAGUGAUGACCUGGCCUGUGAGAGAGGUGUGCUUUGGGCAGUGAACUGAGGCCUUAUUACUCAACACGCUUUCUGGCCAGGGCUGUGUCUGUGCAGCUUGUCCGGCCCCUCCAUCCGUGAAUAGGCUAAAGCAGCAUCUCAGGCAGGAAAGGCUCGCUGGAGGUGUGCCAGGGCCCAGAGCGAAUGAAAGGCUGGAUGAGCCACUUCAGUCCUCUUCCUGCAGUUUGCUGUGAAGAAUGGAGCAGAUCGUACCACCCCCACACCUCCCCCCAGAGCUCAUUGUUGCCUGGGGGCUACCGUGGGCCCAGCCAGAUGGGUUGGGUCAGAAUCCAUUUAGGGAGUUCGAGUUGCGGCGCAACUUGUAUCCAUGAUGAUGCAGGUUCAAUCCUUGGCCUCGAUCAGUGGGUUAAGGAUCCAGCGUUGCUGUGAGCUGUGGUGUAGGUUGCAGAUGGCGGCUUGGAUCCUGAGUUGGUGUGGGUGUGGUAUAGGCUGGCAGCUAUAGCUCCAAUUUGACCCCUAGCCUGGGAUCCUCCAUAUG